UUGAGACUUCGGUAGAUUUGAUCCAUUUCUAGUGGCGGACGGGUGAGUAACGCGUGGGUAACCUGCCUUAUACAGGGGGAUAACAGUCAGAAAUGGCUGCUAAUACCGCAUAAGCGCACAGAGCUGCAUGGCUCAGUGUGAAAAACUCCGGUGGUAUAAGAUGGACCCGCGUUGGAUUAGCUAGUUGGUGGGGUAACGGCCCACCAAGGCGACGAUCCAUAGCCGGCCUGAGAGGGUGAGCGGCCACAUUGGGACUGAGACACGGCCCAGACUCCUACGGGAGGCAGCAGUGGGGAAUAUUGCACAAUGGGGGAAACCCUGAUGCAGCGACGCCGCGUGAAGGAAGAAGUAUCUCGGUAUGUAAACUUCUAUCAGCAGGGAAGAUAGUGACGGUACCUGACUAAGAAGCCCCGGCUAACUACGUGCCAGCAGCCGCGGUAAUACGUAGGGGGCAAGCGUUAUCCGGAUUUACUGGGUGUAAAGGGAGCGUAGACGGUGUGGCAAGUCUGAUGUGAAAGGCAUGGGCUCAACCUGUGGACUGCAUUGGAAACUGUCAUACUUGAGUGCCGGAGGGGUAAGCGGAAUUCCUAGUGUAGCGGUGAAAUGCGUAGAUAUUAGGAGGAACACCAGUGGCGAAGG
rnacentral:rRNA from 1 species